UUAGAGUUUGAUCCUGGCUCAGGAUGAACGCUAGCGGCAGGCUUAACACAUGCAAGUCGAGGGGCAGCGAGAUCAGUGCUUGCACUGAUUGUCGGCGACCGGCGCACGGGUGCGUAACGCGUAUGCAACCUACCCAUUACAGGGGGAUAACACUGAGAAAUCGGUACUAAUACCCCAUAACAUCCAGGGAGGCAUCUUCUUGGGUUGAAAACUCCGGUGGUAAUGGAUGGGCAUGCGUUGUAUUAGUUAGUUGGUGGGGUAACGGCUCACCAAGACAACGAUACAUAGGGGGACUGAGAGGUUAACCCCCCACAUUGGUACUGAGACACGGACCAAACUCCUACGGGAGGCAGCAGUGAGGAAUAUUGGUCAAUGGACGCAAGUCUGAACCAGCCAUGCCGCGUGCAGGAAGACGGCUCUAUGAGUUGUAAACUGCUUUUGUACGAGGGUAAACGCAGAUACGCGUAUCUGUCUGAAAGUAUCGUACGAAUAAGGAUCGGCUAACUCCGUGCCAGCAGCCGCGGUAAUACGGAGGAUUCAAGCGUUAUCCGGAUUUAUUGGGUUUAAAGGGUGCGUAGGCGGUCGGAUAAGUUAGAGGUGAAAUCCCGGGGCUCAACUUCGGAAUUGCCUCUGAUACUGUUCGGCUAGAGAGUAGUUGCGGUAGGCGGAAUGUAUGGUGUAGCGGUGAAAUGCUUAGAGAUCAUACAGAACACCGAUUGCGAAGGCAGCUUACCAAGCUACUUCUGACGUUGAGGCACGAAAGCGUGGGGAGCAAACAGGAUUAGAUACCCUGGUAGUCCACGCAGUAAACGAUGAUAACUCGUUGUCGGCGAUACAGUGUCGGUGACUAAGCGAAAGCGAUAAGUUAUCCACCUGGGGAGUACGUUCGCAAGAAUGAAACUCAAAGGAAUUGACGGGGGCCCGCACAAGCGGAGGAACAUGUGGUUUAAUUCGAUGAUACGCGAGGAACCUUACCCGGGCUUGAAAGUUAGUGACGGAUCUUGAAAGAGGUCUUCCCUUCGGGGCAUGAAACUAGGUGCUGCAUGGUUGUCGUCAGCUCGUGCCGUGAGGUGUCGGGUUAAGUCCCAUAACGAGCGCAACCCCUACCGUUAGUUGCCAGCAGGUCAAGCUGGGCACUCUGACGGGACUGCCGGUGUAAGCCGAGAGGAAGGUGGGGAUGACGUCAAAUCAGCACGGCCCUUACGUCCGGGGCUACACACGUGUUACAAUGGCAGGUACAGAGGGCAGCUACCCAGCGAUGGGAUGCGAAUCUCGAAAGCCUGUCUCAGUUCGGAUUGGAGGCUGAAACCCGCCUCCAUGAAGUUGGAUUCGCUAGUAAUCGCGCAUCAGCCAUGGCGCGGUGAAUACGUUCCCGGGCCUUGUACUAGACCGCCCGUCA
rnacentral:rRNA from 1 species